UGUGACAUGUCAGUUUCAGAUGAGAUGCUCACUGUUUCUUGCUCCUGUUUUCUCGGAAUUGAUGCGUUGGAUCUUGGAUCAGGGCAAGUUUCCACCUUCACUAAAGUUAGGUCACGUUGUUCCAAUUUUUAAAAGGGGGAGAUGAAACGCUCCCAACAACUAUAGGCCGAUUUCUCUCUCCUUGAAUAUUGCCAAGUUGUUCAAGAAGAUAAUGAAGCUUAAACCUGUAGAGUUUUUUGAAGUGCAUGUUGUUCUUCCUCCUAUUAUUGAGGGAUUAUUGAGGGACUAGAGGGACCUGAGUCAGUUGAUGUUGUCCAUCUUGAAUUUGACAAGGCUUUUGAUAAAAUUGAUCAUGGCCUUUUGUUGAAAAGACUUCUGGCAUGUCAUUUGCAUUGCUGCCAUUGGUUUCUCCCUUUAAAAGUGAUAGCACUGUAACAUGAAGAAAUGCUCAAUACCCUAAAACCAUCCUUUAGAAGUUGACUGUCUUUCAGACACAUUGCAAUUCAAGACUUGAGUUGUAAAUAGAAGGCCAUGUCUAAAUGCAUUUCCUAAGUAUUUUUGGUUUAAUGUAUCACACAAUGUAGCGGAAAUCAACGUCAAACAUGAUGAAUCAUUACCAAACAGAUUUCAAGAUAACAUUGGCAAUUUUCAAUGAAUUGCUAGGCAACAUCUAUCUAGGUUGACGAGUGCCGGAGAAACUGAUUCCACAGAUCCUGGUUUGGUCACAAUAAAAGCAACAGCUUCACCGUUUCAACAUCACAAACAGAUCAGCAUUGAACCAACCAAGUAAACUUGACUCUACUCCUGUUCACCAUGAUCAAGUCCUUCAUCUUUCCCGUCCUUCUGGCCUUGAGUGGGUUUGCCCUCCUCUCCAUAUCCAUGGCCACGCCACUAAUCCGACGAUCCCAUCCCGGAGGAAGCCCAGAAGUAUGUUCACACGGAAGUCAAGAUAUCAGAGGGGUGUGAUGAUGAAGAUAACAAUGCUGACAAUGAUGAGGAUGAAGAUGAUGUGCCAGCCGUUCAAGACCGGAUCUUCCCAAGACUUUGGUGCCGUCUGAAGUGCGCCCAAUCUGUGCCGCCAAUCCAAAUGGCACUUGUGUCUGCACCAAAUUCUUCCUUGUCUUUCCCAUCUUCUCAAUCAGAAUUCCUUGCGCUUAGGCCACAUGUCAGGUAAUGCAUGGAGGAAGGACCUGGCUUUUUUCGAAAUAGAUAUGCUUUAUUGUGGUCAAUAAACGAAUGGUGCUUCCCAA